rnacentral:rRNA from 1 species
GACGAACGCUGGCGGCGUGCUUAACACAUGCAAGUCGAACGGAAAGGCCCUGCUUUUGUGGGGUGCUCGAGUGGCGAACGGGUGAGUAACACGUGAGUAACCUGCCCUUGACUUUGGGAUAACUUCAGGAAACUGGGGCUAAUACCGGAUAGGAGCUCCUGCUGCAUGGUGGGGGUUGGAAAGUUUUGGCGGUUGGGGAUGGACUCGCGGCUUAUCAGCUUGUUGGUGGGGUAGUGGCUUACCAAGGCUUUGACGGGUAGCCGGCCUGAGAGGGUGACCGGCCACAUUGGGACUGAGAUACGGCCCAGACUCCUACGGGAGGCAGAAGUGGGGAAUAUUGCACAAUGGGCGGAAGCCUGAUGCAGCAACGCCGCGUGCGGGAUGACGGCCUUCGGGUUGUAAACCGCUUUCGCCUGUGACGAAGCGUGAGUGACGGUAAUGGGUAAAGAAGCACCGGCUAACUACGUG